rnacentral:lncRNA from 1 species
ACAACGACGCCAUUAUCAGCACCCCCUGCCGGCGCCUCCGGCGCAGCCCGCGCAGGAUAUUUUGAAAAGCGCCGGAGAGCUAGGUGAAGAGCUGGGCUCCCAAGGGGGUGAUAGAACCAGCCCGCGGCCCGGCCUCCUCCUCCCGCUUCCCAUUCGCAGCCCGCCUCCCGCCGGGAAGCGGCCCGGCUGCUGCAGAACGGCCGCGCCUGCCCUCCCGGUUUCUCCCGUCCAGUCUUCACCGUCCUUUCCCAGAGAAAGCGACAGCACAGCCUAUGACAACCGAAGCUAAAACGGAAAAACUGGGCCGGGCGCAAGAGGAAACCAGAGCCAUUCGACUAUUGCUAGAGGAGAGGAAUAGCUGCAGGAAAACAUGCGCAAAAUAGCACAAACAUUGCGUCGUCAAGGCUGCAAUGUCUAAUACAAAAUAGAAGGUUCUCAUAGCAACAAAAACGUGCCCAUGUUGUGCUCAGUAUUACAUGCGUUAAAAUGUUCUUAGUUGUGAAAUUUGACAUGACCGCUAGUUAAAGUUACAAUGGAAGUUUUAAAUCCCGCUUUCCGAAAACUUUGCAGCUAUAGCAUGAAGUUAAAUUUUUGUCUUAUUUUCUGGAUAAGUUUACUAUACUGGAACAUAGUAAAGCUCUUUUUAUAAAGAGCUUUGAAUAAAAUACCUAAUGAUGUGGUUGAAACGAACACCUAUUUUCAAAACUAAUCUUAAGUGGUAUUUCAGUGCAUAUGUUAUGUAAAAGCAAUUUAUAAACUAAAUUUUAAGAGCCUUCAAAAUACAAGGUACUCGUAUUUAAUGACUUAACAGUUUUAAUGCUUUUAUUGUUUCUAUAAUCUCUCAGGAAAUCCUAAAACUGACUAUAUUUUUCUUUAUUAAAAUAACUUUUUCUGUAGAAGAUACCCAUUUGGCGCUGUGAUCAGCAUUCUACUUGAAAUUGAAUAUAAACAACUGAAUCAUUACAAAAUGGCUCAUGUUAGAAGAUACUUAAAACGAAUACAAUCUUGUACAGUAAAUGUUUAACACCCCAAAAUAACGAAAAGUAAUUAUUAGCAUUCAUUUAUAUCUAAAUCUCAGUCAAUAUGAUCUAAAUAUUUGUGUUUAAAGACUCCCCCUUUCCAUAUAGAUAAUGAAGGGCUUUGAAAUAAGUGUAGGAAACCCUAAGUUUGGUCUCAGGCUUCCUAUUCAUUCACUAUGCUUUUUCGUGUGCUGUUUACAGUUUCCUUUUUCUGGAAUGCCUUUCCCUGCUUUUUUCCCCCGCCAACAUUUCAGCUUCCCACAGACACACAUUUGUGCCCUCCUGGUUGUCCUGCAGGAUGACCUUUGUUUUUGUUUUUGUCUUUUGUUUUUCGAGACAGGGUCUCGCUCUGUCGUCCAGGAUGGAGUGCAGUGGUGUGAUCUCUGCUCACUGCAACUUCCGCCUCCCGGUCUCAAGUGACCCUCCCACCGCAACCUCCCAAGUAGCUGGGAGGAGCGGCGCGCGCCACCAUGUCUGGCUAGUUUUUGUAUUUUUUGUAGAGACAGAGUUUCCCCAUGUUGCCCAGGCUGCUCUCAAACUCCUGAGCUCAAGCGAUCUGCCGCCUGCCUGGCCCUCCCAAAGUUCUGGGAUUACAGGUGUGAGCCACUGUGCCUGGCCAGGAUGACCUUUUUGAAGUCACCUAGUCAUUGAAGCUUUCCCUCUCAGCCUUUUCCUCUGUGGCCCCAUGCUUAUAGAGCCUCCCACAUUGAUUUGCAGUGCCUUCGUUCGUUCACUUUAUUUCCACCUACCAAACAGUAAGAUCUUGAAGACAGAAACGGCAUUAUUCGUUUAUAUAUCCCCGGUAUCUAGUACAAUUUUUCUGUUUGCAAUAAUAAAUGUCUUAAAACUUAAGAAAGGAGUAAGUCUUCUCAAUGACUUUUUUUAAAAAAGACCCAGAUUCAGCACUUAUUGUAUGUAAGACAGACCUUCCUUUUACAUUACAUUUUUCAUCAGUAAAAGUACUGGGCCAGGCGCGGUGGCUCACGCAUAAUCUCAGCACUUUGGGAGGCUGAAGCGGGUGGAUCACUUCAGGUCAUGAGUUAAAGACCCACCUGGCCAACAUGGUAAAACCCCAUCUCUACUAAAAAUAGAAAAAUUAGCCGAAUGUGGUGGCUCACGCCUGUAAUCCCAGCUACUCGGGAGGCUGAGACAGAAGAAUCGCUUGAACCCAGGAGGCAGAGGUUGCAGUGAGCCGAGAUCCGCCACUGCACUCCAGCCCAGAUGACAGAGCAAGACUCCAUCCCCAAAAAAAGGUACUAGUAUUUCAUGUUAAUAAAAUGGAAUUCUUAUAUAAACAUAUAUAAAUUAAAAAUUAUUUUAAGAGUUGAACAGAUUUCUCUGCAAAUCCCCCUAUAUUUUUAUAUUUUUUAAACUAACUGUAUUCAGCAAAGCUUUUUAUUAUUUAAUUUAUUCCAAACCACAUUAAUCAGUAUUUCUCUGAACUCCUACAGCACAUUUAAAACAGUACUGUUUCUCUAGGUGUGGGUGAGUAAAAAAAUAUUUAAUAUAUGUUAAUUAACUUCCGCAUCUCCUGACCCCACUAAGGUUUGAAUAGGAGCCUCCCCCUUUAUAAACCCUUUUUAUAUACCCACACUACCUAGCCUAAUUGGGGCACAUAUUAGCUGCUUCAUACAUACUUUUCAACUGCCUAAUUUGCUGAUUAGGCAUAAAAGUAUAUAAUUCUGGAAAAGUCUCCACAAGGUGAAAAUGAUUAUCCAAAUAAUAAAGGCCCACAAUGCCAGUGAGUACAUUAUCUGCAUUAUGCUGAUAUUUGACUCCUUUCAACUCUCUUUGGUUGUAGAAACAUGACCGAUGAUUAUAUUACACUUUUAACUCUUUAAAUAUUAUUAGCUUGCUUUGGACUGUGGAAAACUAACUACAAUCAUUUUUAUUCCUCAGAAUAUAUUUUGCGGCCGGGCACGGUGGCUCAUGCCUGUAUACCCAGCACUUUGGGAGGCCGAGGUGGGCAGAUCACGAGGCCAGGAGUUCGAGACCAACCUGGCCAAUAUGGUGUAACCCCGUCUCUACUAAAAGUACAAACAUUAGGUGGGCAUAGUGCUGCAAGCCUGUAGUCCUAGCUACUCAGGAGGCUGAGGCAGAAGAAUCACUUGAACCCAGGAGGCAGAGGUUGCAGUGAGCCAAGAUCAUGGCAUUGCACUCCAGCCUGGGUGACAGAGCAAGACUCCAUCUUAAAAAAUAUAUAUAUAUAUAUAGAUAGAUAGAUAGAUAGAUGUAUAUAUACAUAUACGUAUACAUAUACGUAUAUGUAUACGUAUACAUAUAUGUAGAGUAUAUAUACAUCUACGUAUAUGUAUACUCUACAUAUAUGUGUAUAUAUACAUAUAUACUCUACAUAUAUACACAUAUAUAUGUAUAUGGCUUCUGAGCUAUAGCUUGAGUAACUUGUUAACUUGUAAUACUUGAGUAACUUGUAAUAUUGUAUGCUGCCAAAGCAUUUUUUCACUUAAACAUCUCAUCGUGAUUUUCAGAAAUUUAGAAUCGGAAAAUCGUUUUUGAUCCCACUCAUGGAUAUAUAAACUUAGGGCUAAAUCAGAAAAGCAAGCACAUAGUUUUAGACAAUGACACUUAUUUGCUUAAUUACUCUAUGGAGCCAGGUGGAUAUGUACAGGUUAUGUCCUUUUGCAUGCUUGAAUUUAUAGUGAGUUGAAUCUGUUCAGACAGCCAUCAGUGAUGUGUCCGUGAGGAACACAGAAAAUGUUUCUUUUUGUUUAAAGGAAUUUAUUUAUUUACUUAUUUUUACUUUUUUUUAAUCAUACUUUAAGUUCUAGGAUACAUGUGCACAACGUGCAGGUUUGUUACGUAUGUAUAUAUGUGCCAUGUUGGUGUGCUGGACCCAUUAACUCGUCGUUUACAUUCGGUAUAUCUCCUAAUGCUAUCCCUCCCCUCUCCCCCCAAAAAUGUUUCUUUUGAAUGCAGUUGACUCAGUUACCUAAGAUGUGAGUGAAGUGGAAAGGGUAAGUGGUGGGAAUAAUGCAAAAUGAUAGUUUAAAAAUCCUUCAUGCCCUGUUUACUUUCCUAAUAUGGAGAUAAUUGAAAUCUGGACUGGGAAUAAUUUUUUUUUAAAAAAACUGGAUUUUCCUUGGGCAUUGCCAUUUACUAAUCUCAUGAUCCUGGGCGAGUCAUGUAAUCUCUUUAAAACUUAUUAACUCAUAAAAAUAGAAGUAACAAUGUCCAAACUUCCUAUUUUAGAGUUUUCACGAGGCGCAAUAGAUGUAACUGAAAGCUUCGAGAAGUUUAAAGGACUUGCAAGGAAAUCUACUGAAAUAAGCCCCAUUCCACCUGGGCAGAAGCACUCAGACGCCAAACCCCACCUUCUGUCCUGAAAUUCACCUUCCACUAGGAGAGUUUGCUUUUCUAAUGCUUCAAAUGCACAACGGGAGAUGUUCUGACUUCAGGGUUUCUACCCUUCACUGCUGUAAUCUGCUGCCUGUAUGACAUGCGAUCUGGUUUACACCGUACAGCUUAUCAUCUUCAGCUUGUGGCCCCUUCCUUGUUUCCACCUUGCUAUUCAGGAGGGCCUGUAAGGGUAUCUGGAUUCCUUGAGCUGUAGAUGCAGGACAGUGAGAGGGAGGGAGGUAGUUCUCUGGUCUAAUUUCAGUUUCCUAACUGAGGGUACAUGCCUUCCCUGAAUGAUCAUCAUCAAAAAUAUCCAGCCCUUCAUGGAAGACACCACCCCUCCUCAUAGAUGAGUCCCUGAGCUUAUGAUCUCAAAAGGAAAUCCUUAUCAGAAUACAACAGAAUAAGGACAUAGUUUCAUUACAGUUAUAAUAAUAAAAGUAGUUCUUCUUUAUUAA